UACAAAUCUCAACAUUGGACUUCCUCCCUCUCCUGCCCAAUGUCUGUUAUAAGAUAUAUCUGGUAAGAUGAGAAACUUCAUACAGACUGCCACAUUAUUUCAAAGCUGACAGGAGAUGCGUAGCCUCCAUUCUGCAUGAAGCAAAACAAAAGUUAGUUUCAUAUGAGCUCCGAAACACUGUUGUGCUGCUCUAGCCUUUGCUCUCGUCAUUGCAUCACUAACGGAACAGGCUUGCACAUGAGCUGUGAUUUACACAAAGGAGCAAGAGUGAUGUGAGGAGAGUUCCCUUCCUUCCUCCUUCCUAGUUUUAAAUGGACAAAAACAUAUGGGAAAAGUUACUUACAUUCAAAUCUCUGAAGUAUUCAUUGUAAUCUAGGGCGUAUCCCACAACAAACUUGUCUGGCACUUCAAAUCCAACAACUGGAAAAGAAUAUAAG